CGCGGUAUUUUGACCGUGCGAAGGUAGCAUAAUCAUUAGUCUUUUAAUUGAAGGCUUGGAUGAAGGGUUGGACGAGAAAUUAGCUGUCUUUAUCAUGGGGGUAAAAUUUAACUUUUAAGUGAGAGGGCUUAAAUAAACUAAAGGGACGAUAAGACCCUAUAAAGUUUGACAUUAACUGUAGUAAGAGGGGCUAGGUGAGUUAAGAAAAGUUAAUUAAUGUGGAAAAUGUUUUGUUGGGGCGACAAAGAUAUAAGAAAUUUAACUGUCUUUAGGUUAAGCCAAAGAUGUUUGUAAGAGAGAUCCUUAUUAAAGGUGCUAGAAUAAAUUACUUUAGGGAUAACAGCGUGAUUUUCUCUGAGAGUUCUUAUCGACGAGAGAGUUUGCGACCUCGAUGUUGAAUUAAAGAGUCUUUAUGGCGUAGCGGCUAUGAAAGAGGGUCUGUUCGACCUUUAA
rnacentral:rRNA from 1 species